GUGAGGAAUAUUGGACAAUGGGCGCAAGCCUGAUCCAGCCAUGCCGCGUGCAGGAAGACGCAUCUAUGGUGUGUAAACUGCUUUUGUACGGGAAGAAACACUCCCUCGUGAGGGAGCUAGACGGUACCGUAAGAAUAAGGAUCGGCUAACUCCGUGCCAGCAGCCGCGGUAAUACGGAGGAUCCAAGCGUUAUCCGGAAGCAUUGGGUUUAAAGGGUCCGUAGGCGGUUUAAUAAGUCAGUGGUGAAAGCCCAUCGCUCAACGAUGGAACGGCCAUUGAUACUGUUAGACUUGAAUUACAAGGAAGUAACUAGAAUAUGUAGUGUAGCGGUGAAAUGCUUAGAUAUUACAUGGAAUACCAAUUGCGAAGGCAGGUUACUACUUGUGGAUUGACGCUGAUGGACGAAAGCGUGGGGAGCGAACAGGAUUAGAAACCCUAGUAGUCC
rnacentral:rRNA from 1 species